AAGGCGUGAUGUGUGUGAGAUUACCCGCUGAAUUUAAGCAUAUAAGUAAGCGGAGGAAAAGAAACUAACUAGGAUUCCCUUUAGUAAUGGCGAAUGAACAGGGAUCAGCUCAGUGCCAAAUCGGAAUCACUUGUGGUUCUGAAAUGUGGCUUGAAGGCAGUACCAGUGGCAUCGCGGACGAAAGUCUCUUGGAAAAGAGCGUCAUAGAGGGUGAGAAUCCCGUGAGUCGUUCGCCGUUUGUCACGUACGGUCUGCGUUCUAACGAGUCGCGUUCCUUGGGAUUGGAGCGUAAACGGGUGGUAAAUUUCAUCCAAAGCAAAAUAUAUACUCGAGACCGAUAGCACAAAAGUACCGUGAGGGAAAGGUGAAAAGAACUUUGAGAAGAGGGUUAAAUAGUGCCUGAAAUCGUUGAGAAGGAAGCGGAUGCCGCCGUUGCAUAUGCUGAUUGUAGGAUUGCUGCUCGCUCCUGUCUUCUGCUACUCAUUCACAGACCUGGUCGUGUUGAGCAGUUGUUUGGCAGAUGUUAGUGGUGUUUCCUACUUUCAGUCGUCAGCAUCACUGGCUGAGUGGAAAUAAUCCUUGGAUGCUAAUUGGUUCGCUAUCUGUGAAUUGGUUGCUUCCUUGCGAUACUCACUACUCGGUCAGUGAGGAAGUGCGUUUGCUGGUCAACGAGCUUUCUAACUGUCAUUACCCUGCGCUUUUCGAUUCGUCGAGUGGCCAGGAUGUGGCUUUGAGAUUGUUCGCACUUAGUAAUCGCGAUGCUGGCUUCCAACGGUUGCCUCCGGCCCGUCUUGAAACACGGACCAAGGAGUCUAACGUAUGUGCGAGUGUGUGAGUGGCAAACUUAUACGCGUAAUGAAAGUGAGGCCGUAUGGCCAUGUUGGGGUCACCAACAACCGACCUUGAUCUUCGGUGAAAGGUUUGAGUAUGAGCAUAUCCGUUAGGACCCGAAAGAUG
rnacentral:ncRNA from 1 species